rnacentral:ncRNA from 2 species
UAUGAGCGGAGGGCCGAUGGUCCCGCGCGUGCGGGCCCGAGGGAAUCCGGUGGAAAUCCGGAGCUGCCCCGCAGCGGUGAGCGGGAACGAAAGCUGCAUCGAAGGCACUAGGCCACGCCCGGGAAGCCGCAGCGAGUAGGUCACCGGGGUCUCGACCCCGUCGCCCGCGAGUCCGAAGACCUGCCGUCGGUGUUGUCCGUCA